GCACAUCCUCCCCCUGCCCCUGAGUGGAAGGCAGAGAUGAGGGAGUGCCUUGGAGGGCACCAAUCACAAAGGUGCCCUCACUGCCACUCGGGCCUGAAGGAGAAAUUCAAUCACUCUCCAUUAAGGUCUUCCUAGAUGGAAGAACCAAGACGCAGGAGACAGCAAGUCGCUGGAGGGAGCCAGACUUCUGGACAAGAUGCUGAGUGACCUGGAGAGACGUAGUGAGAUGAAACAAAAGGCUCUGCUGAAGACUGAGUUUCCUGGAGGAAGCAGUGGCUCAUUGCCAGCCUCUGCUGCAGGAAGGGAGGCGAUGCCAGGCACAGGCCCAGGAGGUGAGGGUGCUGAAAUAGGUUCUCCAGCAGCUGGGAUGAAAGUUGGUUUGGAACCCUUGGGAGCCUCUGCAGGUAAGUUCUCAACUUCCCCUCAGAGAAUAAUGAUUGACAAACUGUCAGGAACCAGGUGACAGGAGCUUCUGUGGCUGUUGAGUUACGGAUGUGUCUGCAGGGAGGACUUUUCAAGCUCCAGGGCUGGUUGCUGCACACAAGCCCAGCUCCCAUCGCAGGGGUCCUCUGAGAGGGAGGAAAAAUACUACCAAACAGAGUAAGUCCCUGGAGGAAUCCAAACAAGCAGACCAAAUCUUGACUGAACUGGAGAGACAACAGGACGUGGACCAAAAACCUUUGCGGAAGGCAGCACUUCCUGGAGGAAGCGAUGGCUCAGUGCCAGCCACCGAUGCACAAAGGGAGGAGAUGCCAGACAGUGCCACAGAAGAUGCCAAUGAAAACCUGGAUCAUUCCAUUAAAAAAGCUGGAAAGCAGAUCCUGGAGAAGAGGGCAUAAAUCUGCUCUCACCCUCUGGACAGGCCCUUCUGAUUCCUCCCUGAGAGCAGGCAGUCAUGAAUGUCAGUCAGGGAGGAAUUUGCUGCAGUUCCAG